UUUCCGUAGGUGAACCUGCGGAAGGAUCAUUAUUGAAUGAAACACUUCUGGCUUUAUGCUGUUGUGCUGGCCCUUUGUGCAAUGUGCACACGGCUCUGGUCACUUGUUUCUUCUGUUCCACCUGUGCACUGCCUGUAGACACUCUGUGUCUAUGAUAUUUGUUAACACACAACAAUGUUAGUUGGCAUGUUAUAUAUAAUAAUAAAAUAUACAACUUUCAACAACGGAUCUCUUGGCUCUC
rnacentral:misc_RNA from 1 species